UCGUCCAGCGGAAAAAGGCCACAAAAACGGAUGGGCUAUAGCCUUGGGGGGUGGGGUUGCCCAACUUCGUCCGCCGGACUUGGAAUGCCGUGAGACUUUGCGAGGGGCCUCCGUGUGCCAAAAAUAGGCCGCGGGCAAAGCCGCGCCCAAAAUUAACCGCCCGAAGGCCGGGGCGCCAAGUUCUCCCAGCGGAAAAAGGCCACAAAAACGGGUGGGCUAUAGCCUUGGGGGGUGGGGCUGGCCAGCUUCGUCCGCCGCACUCGGAAUGCCGCGAGACUUUGCGAGGGGCCUCCGUGUACCAAAAAUAGGCCGCGGGCAAAGCCGCACCCAAAAUUAACUGCCCAAAGGCCGGGGCGCCAAGUUCGUCCAGCGGAAAAAGGCCACAAAAACUGGUGGGCUAUAGCCUUGGGGGGUGGGGCUGGCCAACUUCGUCCGCCGGACUCGGAAUGCCGCGAGACUUUGCGAGGGGCCUCCGGGUGCCAAAAAUAUGCCGCGGGCAAAGCCGCGCCCAAAAAUAACCGCCCGACGGCUGGGGUGCCAAGUUCGUCCAGCGGAAAAAGGCCACAAAAACGGGUGGGCUAUAGCCUUGGGGGGUGGGGUUGCCCAACUUCGUCCGCCGGACUUGGAAUGCCGUGAGACUUUGCGAGGGGCCUCCGUGUGCCAAAAAUAGGCCGCGGGCAAAGCCGCGCCCAAAAUUAACCGCCCGAAGGCCGGGGCGCCAAGUUCUCCCAGCGGAAAAAGGCCACAAAAACGGGUGGGCUAUAGCCUUGGGGGGUGGGGCUGGCCAACUUCGUCCGCCGGACUCGGAAUGCCGCGAGACUUUGCGAGGGGCCUCCGUGUGCCAAAAAUAGGCCGCGGGCAAAGCCGCACCGAAAAAUAACCACCCGACGGCUGGGGUGCCAAGUUCGUCCAGCGGAAAAAGGCCACAAAAACGGGUGGGCUAUAGCCUUGGGGGAUGGGGUUGCCCAACUUCGUCCGCCGGACUCGGAAUGCCGCGAGACUUUUCGAGGGGCCUCCGUGUGCCAAAAAUAGGCCGCGGGUAAAGCCGCGCCCAAAAUUAACUGCCCGAAGGCCGGAGCGCCAAGUUCUCCCAGCGGAAAAAGGCCACAAAAACGGGUGGGCUAUAGCAUGGGGGGGUGAUGCUGGCCACUUCGUCGCUGGAUUCGGAAAUGCCGCGAGACUUUGCGAGGGGCUCGUGUG
rnacentral:lncRNA from 1 species